rnacentral:rRNA from 1 species
UACGGAGGGUGCAAGCGUUAAUCGGAAUUACUGGGCGUAAAGCGCGCGUAGGUGGUCUGUUAAGUCGGAUGUGAAAGCCCCGGGCUCAACCUGGGAACUGCAUUCGAUACUGGCAGACUAGAGUGCGAGAGAGGGAGGUAGAAUUCCAUGUGUAGCGGUGAAAUGCGUAGAUAUGUGGAGGAAUACCAGUGGCGAAGGCGGCCUCCUGGCUCGACACUGACACUGAGGUGCGAAAGCGUGGGGAGCAAACAGG